rnacentral:rRNA from 1 species
UACGUAGGGGGCAAGCGUUGUCCGGAUUUAUUGGGCGUAAAGAGCGUGUAGGCGGCCAAGCAGGUCCGCUGUGAAAACUCGAGGCUCAACCUCGAGACGUCGGUGGAAACCGUUUGGCUAGAGUCCGGAAGAGGAGAGUGGAAUUCCCGGUGUAGCGGUGAAAUGCGCAGAUAUCGGGAAGAACACCCGUGGCGAAGGCGGCUCUCGUGGGACGGUACUGACGCUGAGACGCGAAAGCGUGGGGAGCGAACAGG